AAAUCACUUUGCCCCAGCGCCUGCACUUCUCGACAAAGAAAAAAGAGAGGAAGCUUGUAGCUCUAUGAUCCGCCAAACAGUUUUGCCUUUGUGCGAUACCCUCUAUUAAUCCCGGAAUGCCUUCAUGUAACCACACAGAAUUCACAACCGUACGGCAGUCUUGUAAGUUCUCUUUAAAUUUCAGAUUACUUUCUUGGUCAGCAUUCUUUUGAUCUCCAUAUAUGGAGUCCAAGUCAAUUGCAAGGUUGCGAGCUAUUCCCUCAAUAUCCUUGAAAAAGGAGCAAUGGUUCAAGAGAUUGUAGAAGUGGAUGUAGACAACCAGACAGAAGUAAUCCGUGUGCCUCAGCAUAACGAUGUGGCUGCCACGGAGACGAUGAAUGACUUCAAGGAAAAUUUAACUGUUCGCCGCAUUCCAUCAACACAAGACUGCUACGUAUCUAAAUUGGAUUCAUCUAUUCCUGUGCCAGAGAGGA